rnacentral:rRNA from 1 species
GAUGAACGCUGGCGGCGUGCCUAAUACAUGCAAGUCGAGCGAACAGAUAAGGAGCUUGCUCCUUUGACGUUAGCGGCGGACGGGUGAGUAACACGUGGGUAACCUACCUAUAAGACUGGGAUAACUUCGGGAAACCGGAGCUAAUACCGGAUAAUAUUUCGAACCGCAUGGUUCGAUAGUGAAAGAUGGUUUUGCUAUCACUUAUAGAUGGACCCGCGCCGUAUUAGCUAGUUGGUAAGGUAACGGCUUACCAAGGCGACGAUACGUAGCCGACCUGAGAGGGUGAUCGGCCACACUGGAACUGAGACACGGUCCAGACUCCUACGGGAGGCAGCAGUAGGGAAUCUGCGGCAAUGGGCGAAAGCCUGACGGAGCAACGCCGCGUGAGUGAUGAAGGUCUUCGGAUCGUAAAACUCUGUUAUUAGGGAAGAACAGACGUGUAAGUAACUGUGCACGUCUUGACGGUACCGAAGCAGAAAGCCACGGCUAACUACGUG